CAAGUACUCCCUCCGUCCGGAAAUACUUGUCAUCAAAAUGAAUAAAAGGGAAUGUAUCUAGCUGUAUUUUAGUUUUAGAUACAUCCAUUUUUGUCCAUUUUAAUGACAAGUAUUUUCGGACGGAGGGAGUAUAUA
rfam:Triticum aestivum genome assembly, contig: Triticum_aestivum_CS42_TGACv1_scaffold_031369_1BL